GUGCUUGCUUCAGCAGCACAUAUACUAAAGUUGGAACAAUACAGAGAGGGUUAGCAUGGCCCCUGUGCAAGGAUGACAGGUGCUAUGGAGCUGUUCACACAUGAGCA